GAUGAACGCUGGCGGCGUGCCUAAUACAUGCAAGUCGAGCGAACGGACGAGAAGCUUGCUUCUCUGAUGUUAGCGGCGGACGGGUGAGUAACACGUGGAUAACCUACCUAUAAGACUGGGAUAACUUCGGGAAACCGUAGCUAAUACCGGAUAAUAUUUUGAACCGCAUGGUUCAAAAGUGAAAGACGGUCUUGCUGUCACUUAUAGAUGGAUCCGCGCUGCAUUAGCUAGUUGGUAAGGUAACGGCUUACCAAGGCAACGAUGCAUAGCCGACCUGAGAGGGUGAUCGGCCGCACUGGAACUGAGACACGGUCCAGACUCCUACGGGAGGCAGCAGUAGGGAAUCUUCCGCAAUGGGCGAAAGCCUGACGGAGCAACGCCGCGUGAGUGAUGAAGGUCUUCGGAUCGUAAAACUCUGUUAUUAGGGAAGAACAUAUGUGUAAGUAGCUGUGCACAUCUUGACGGUACCUAAUCAGAAAGCCACGGCUAACUACGUG
rnacentral:rRNA from 1 species